rnacentral:rRNA from 1 species
GAGCGCCCCGCAAGGGGAGCGGCAGACGGGAGAGUAACACGUGGGAACGUACCCUUUGGUUCGGAACAACCCAGGGAAACUUGGGCUAAUACCGGAUAAGUCCGUAAGGAGAAAGAUUUAUCGCCAAAGGAUCGGCCCGCGUCUGAUUAGCUUGUUGGUGAGGUAACGGCUCACCAAGGCGACGAUCAGUAGCUGGUCUGAGAGGAUGAUCAGCCUCACUGGGACUGAGACACGGCCCAGACUCCUACGGGAGGCAGCAGUGGGGAAUAUUGGACAAUGGGCACAAGCCUGAUCCAGCCAUGCCGCGUGGAUGAUGAAGGCCUUAGGGUUGUAAAGUCCUUUCGGCGGGGAAGAUAAUGACGGUACCCGCAGAAGAAGCCCCGGCUAACUUCGUGCCAGCAGCCGCGGUAAUACGAAGGGGGCUAGCGUUGCUCGGAAUCACUGGGCGUAAAGCGCACGUAGGCGGCUUUUUAAGUCAGAGGUGAAAUCCUGGAGCUCAACUCCAGAACUGCCUUUGAUACUGGAGAGCUUGAGUCCGGGAGAGGUGAGUGGAACCGCGAGUGUAGAGGUGAAAUUCGUAGAUAUUCGCAAGAACACCAGUGGCGAAGGCGGCUCACUGGCCCGGUACUGACGCUGAGGUGCGAAAGCGUGGGGA